GAGUCCAUAAUAUCAUGGAUUCUUGGUAUUUCUCACCCUCCCUCUUAUUUCAUACACCAUUUGAUGGUUUCUGGAUUUUGUUAGCACAGAAGUGGAGGAGUCCUGCUUGAAGGCUUUUCCACACCUAGAGCUUCUAUAUAAGGAAUUAAUUCCUUGUGGAAACUUUAGGACGACACAUGGGAUGUGUUUGUGCCAAAACUUCAUUUAUUUUCUCCCUAAAGCCUCUUAAUUAUUACACACCAAUUUUAUGGGA
rnacentral:lncRNA from 1 species